AGUGAACGCUGGCGGUAGGCCUAACACAUGCAAGUCGAACGGCAGCACAGUAAGAGCUUGCUCUUACGGGUGGCGAGUGGCGGACGGGUGAGGAAUACAUCGGAAUCUACUUUUUCGUGGGGGAUAACGUAGGGAAACUUACGCUAAUACCGCAUACGACCUACGGGUGAAAGCAGAGGAUCUUCGGACCUUGCGCGAUUGAAUGAGCCGAUGUCGGAUUAGCUAGUUGGCGGGGUAAAGGCCCACCAAGGCGACGAUCCGUAGCUGGUCUGAGAGGAUGAUCAGCCACACUGGAACUGAGACACGGUCCAGACUCCUACGGGAGGCAGCAGUGGGGAAUAUUGGACAAUGGGCGCAAGCCUGAUCCAGCCAUACCGCGUGGGUGAAGAAGGCCUUCGGGUUGUAAGGCCCUUUUGUUGGGAAAGAAAAGCAGCAGGUUAAUACCCCGCUGUUCUGACGGUACCCAAAGAAUAAGCACCGGCUAACUUCGUG
rnacentral:rRNA from 1 species